GCUUGUCUCAAAGAUUAAGCCAUGCAUGUCUAAGUGUAAAUAAGUCUAUACUGUGAAACUGCGAAUGGCUCAUUAAAUCAGUUAUCGUUUAUUUGAUGAUCUCUUACUACUUGGAUAACCGUAGUAAUUCUAGAGCUAAUACAUGCACAAAAUCCCGACUUACGAAGGGAUGUAUUUAUUAGAUACAAAACCAAUGCGGGUUCUGCUCGCCAUUGUGUUGAAUCAUAGUAACUUAUCGAACGCCAUAGCCUUGUGCUGGGCGUAGAUCAUUCAAAUUUCUGCCCUAUCAGCUUUCGACGGUAGUGUAGUGGACUACCGUGGCGUUAACGGGUAACGGGGAAUUAGGGUUCGAUUCCGGAGAGGGAGCCUGAGAAACGGCUACCACAUCCAAGGAAGGCAGCAGG
rnacentral:rRNA from 1 species